CUAAGGUUAUUGGAUUAUUUUGGAUUGCAGGUGCCUUCUUACUUGUGGACACCCACCCACAUUUCCAGAAUCUUUGAUAAUACAUAUUCCCAAAUUAAACACAGAAGCACCUAGAACCCUCCAUUGAUGAAACUUGAGAUUCUGCAACUGCUUUAAUCCUCACAAAUAAAUGGCAAAACCACCAUAACUCAAAGACCUCAAACAAACACAGAAACAAAAGAAGCAACCAAAGAUGUUCUUUUUCUUUGUAGGUGGAUUAGAGCAACAAGUGAGGCAAGUGCUGCAAUCGGGUCUGGGCAGGUGCAUAAACUGUAAUUCAAGAGCUGAUCUUGUCGAGUACGAGAAAGUGUUGAAGCUUUUCUUUGUGCCCGUUUGGAGAUGGCCAGGAAAAGACCCUCUCAUGCACUGUAACAACUGCAACCUCUUUUUCCCUCGGGAUUUGUCUUAUACACCUCCCAAGGUUGAUUCAUCAUCUGCUGCCGUUUCAGAGGCUUUGCGUUGUCGUUUUUGUGACCGGCUUGUUGAGCCUGAGUUCAGAUUCUGCCCCUUUUGUGGCUCUGCUGUCUAAUUUUCCUUUUGCGGGGAGGGCUUGAAUCUAGUUUAUGCUAAUUAAUUAGAAGAGGCAGUUUCAAACAAAAAGCUAUAAGAUUGCAAUUUAUGUAUAGUGGUAAGCGUACAUGAAGCUGGUGAAGGUGUGUUGUGCAAUCCUUGGUACUCUGUCCUUUCAGUUUCCCAGGCUUUGAUAUCCAUCAGUUUUACAUCACUCAGACCUACCCCAAAAUUCUUUCGACUUGCAUCAUUUAAAGUUUUCUCAUUCUGUGUAAUGGAGAGGGAGGCUAGGUGUUUUUGUUGACUGCCAAUUUAUGCAUUGUCUGUAACGAUGAAGCACAUAGCUUCUGGACUAUUGCUGCUAUGCUUUUUGGUUUCUUAUUGUCUGAGUUAAUGCUGUAUUGUAGAGGGAAAAAAACAACUGCGUAUAAAUUG